rnacentral:lncRNA from 1 species
CUUCCCCAUGCCGCGGCCGCGGCCCAAGGCCUACACCAACUCGGUGGACGUCCUCGACGGGGAGGGGUGGGAGUCCCAGGACGCUCCCUCGUGCAGCACCCACCCCUGCGACAGCUCGCUGCCCUGCGACUCCGACCUCUAGACGCUUGUAGAGCCUGGGGGGCGCCGGGUGGCAAAGGACUCACCCCCGCACAGGCCCGCCUGGCUUCGAGUUGGAACCCGGACACUUGCCCCUCACUGGUGUGGAUGGAAAUCUGCCUUUCGUGGGACCAAACAGGACUCCUUGGACGAUUAGUUCAGGUUGGGUUUGGUUUUCUUCUUAAAGAGUUUAGUUUUCCUCUCCAGA